ensembl:ncRNA lncRNA:CR45302 long non-coding RNA:CR45302
AAAUAGCAAUAAAUAAGUCGCAAAACGUGAGCGACGGAAAACGAAAUGAUUUUCAUCCAAAUCAUGUUGACAAAUUUGGCUAUAGGCCAAAGGGCAUCACGUCAUCACAUGGGCUAAGUCCUCGAAUCAAGUGCAAGGAGUCGCAUAUGUGAGUGCUCGCAAUGACGCCCAGAUUAUCAUCGCUGCUGGAUGCUGUUUUCCUGCUCCCCGAAUGCCCCGUUUGCCAUCGGGUUGCCGGUGUAAUAACUUAAAAUCCCAUAAUAAAGCUACUUACUGCCUUCGUCGUUGGCGCUGUCCUCGUGGCUCU